rnacentral:rRNA from 1 species
UACGUAGGGGGCUAGCGUUGUCCGGAAUCAUUGGGCGUAAAGCGCGUGUAGGCGGUUCGGUAAGUCCGCUGUGAAAGUCGGGGGCUCAACCCUCGAAUGCCGGUGGAAACUGCCUCGCUAGAGUCCGGAAGAGGAGAGCGGAAUUCCUGGUGUAGCGGUGGAAUGCGCAGAUAUCAGGAAGAACACCCGUGGCGAAGGCGGCUCUCUGGGACGGUACUGACGCUGAGACGCGAAAGCGUGGGGAGCGAACAGG